UCCAAAUAUAUUGAUAAAGAUAGUCAUCAAGUCACAAGAGAGGUGAACAAAAGGGGAAAGGAAGAAAAAAGAUCUACAAAAACAAAUCCAAAACAAUUAACAAAAUGGCAGUAAGAACAUACAUAUUAAUAAUUACCUUAAAUGUAUAUAGAUUAAUUGCUCCAACCAAAAGACAAAGACGGCUGAAUGGAUACAAAAACAAGACCCAUAUAUGGGCAGUCUACAACAGACCUACUUCAGAUCUAGGGUCACACACAGACAGAAAAUGAAGGGAUGAAAAAGGUUAUUCCAUGCAAAUUAAAAUCAAAAGAAAGCUGGAGUAACAAUACU